CAGUAUUUUCAUCGGGUCGUGUCUGACAAGUUCGAAUGUUGGAUCAAACUAUACAAUCGCCUAGACAGUAGACGUUGCAGUGUGAUGUGAAUGAUGGAAUACGAGAGCAAAUGGAAUAAACUUUCAGAAGCUAGAAUACAAAAAAACGGACGGAGCUGCGCACAGCAAGAAGCAAAAGGUCACACCGAGGUAUGAGAAAUGGGCGAAAAAAGUCAUCAUACUUCUUAACAAAUCUCGACGAUGAAAUGAAUAAUAUACCACUUAAAGGUCUGAGUGGUUGGUUCCGAAAUUGAAAUCAAACCAUAAUUGGACCGGUAAUUAGUGUCAAUAACUUUCCCGUCGCGGCAAUUUCAACGCGUUCCGACGCGUGAGCCGUGAAUCACGGGCUAAUGCAGAGGAUGAAGAAAAAGGGUACCGUUGAGCGCCCGGGCGGAUAGUAAUGCUAAAGCGACUCUUUCAAUAGGACACGAAACCGCAUCUUAUUCCAUCUCGGUUCCAUCCUCGCGCUGCUUCCCGCUUCACCUUGCAAGAUCCUGUUUUCUCGCUCUCGCUGCUCCUGCUUCGUCUUUCGCAUCUUUAUCAUUUCUCACCCAUUUGUACCUUUUUUCUUCUUCGCGUGAUAUUUAUCGCAGGCGGUCCGUUAAUAAAUAAAAAUAAUAAAUGGAUGAAAUAAAACAUUUGUUUUGCUGCCUCCUGCGGUGUAAUUUUU